rnacentral:ncRNA from 2 species
AGUUUCCCUCAGGAUAGCUAGAGCUCGGAAACGAGUUCUAUCGGGUGCCAAUGAUUAGAGGCAUCGGGGACGCAAUGUCCUCGACCUAUUCUUAAACUAUAAAUAGGUAGGACGGGGUGGCUGCUUUGUUGAGCCAUCCCACAGAAUCGAGAGUUUCAAGUGGGCCAUUUUUGGUAAGCAGAACUGGCAAUGCGGGAUGAACUGGAAGCCGGGUUACGGUGCCCAACUGCGCGCUAACCUAGAACUCACAAAGGGUGUAGGUCGAUUAAGACAACAGGACAGUGGUCAUGGAAGUCAAAAUCCGCUAAGGAGUGUGUAACAACUCACCUGCCGAAUCAACUAGCCCCGAAAAUGGAUGGCGCUGAAGGGCGCUGUGGGAACCGAAAUCGCACUGUCGAUUUCCAUUUAAAUUGCAAAACUA